rnacentral:rRNA from 1 species
CGAGCACGCGCGUGUGGCAUAUCAAUAAGCGGAGGAAAAGAAACUAACAAGGAUUCCCUUAGUAACGGCGAGUGAAGCGGGAAGAGCUCAAAUUUGAAAUCUUCAAGGUUCUACCUUGACGAAUUGUAGUUUAUAGAAGUGUUUUCUGUUAGUAGGAGUGGCAAAAGUUCUUUGGAAUAGGACAUCAUAGAGGGUGAGAAUCCCGUAUUUGGUCAUUCCUUCCUAGCGUUGUGAUACACUUUCAACGAGUCGGAUUGUUUGGGAAUGCAGUCCAAAAUGGGUGGUAAAUUCAUCUAAAGCUAAAUAUUGGCGAGAGACCGAUAGCGAACAAGUACCGUGAGGGAAAGAUGAAAAGAACUUUGAAAAGAGAGUUAAACAGUACGUGAAAUUGUCAAAAGGGAAGCGUUUGACACCAGUGUUGUUUUUCCGAAAAUCAAUUACGAAUGUUUUGUUUUUGAGGAGUUAUGACUUCAUCGGCUUGCUUCCUUUCUUUACGAAACUUUCUUAAUGCACUUUUCGGUUAACAAGUCAACAUCAAUUUCUUUUGUUGUAAAAGGGUAUGAGGAAGGUGGCUUUCUUUUCGGAGAAAGUGUUUAUAGCCUUGUACCUCUGCAAUCGGAGAGAUUGAGGUCUGCAGCGUAGAUCCUUCGGGGUUAGAUACAUUUGUGCUAAGUUAUAGCUUUUCAUAGACAACUUGUUGACUAUGUUAAGUCUUGUAGCUUACUCGCUUAUGCUAUUUUACCUACGCUUAGGAUGUUGAUGUGAUACUGCGAGCA